rnacentral:rRNA from 1 species
ACAAAGGUUUGGUCCUGGCCUUAUCAUCAACUGUUUCUCAACUUACACAUGCAAGUCUCAGCACACCCGUGAGAACGCCCUUUCAACCUUCACUAGACCAAGGAGCCGGCAUCAGGCACAACCAUCUGCCCAUAACGCCUAGUCUUACCACACCCCCAAGGGUCAUCAGCAGUGAUAAAUCUUGUGCAUAAGCGACAGCUUGACUCAGUUAAAGAAAAGUAGAGCCGGCUAAUCCGGUGCCAGCCGCCGCGGCUACACCGUGAGGCUCAAGUUGAUAAUCUUCGGCGUUAAGCGUGAUUAAAGUUUCUUCAAAUUAGAGUCAAAUUGAUACUUAGUAGUUAUAAGCUUGCUAUCAAGAAGUACAUAAACGAAAGUUACUCUAAUUAUAUUACUUGAAUACACGACAGU